UACCCAAACCUAAAAACACAACAUCGAUGUCAUGGCACAUCCAUUCUUCUGGGAGAGCAUGUUCUGGUACAGCGGUCAGGGAGGGUCAGGGGCACGAGUGAACUCAGCCACACAUCUCCUCCUUAUGGGAGCCGAGAAAGGUGGUUUCAACAACAAAUGCCGACCUUAGCUUUUCUCACUGAUCUGAACAGUACCGAUGCCUCACUUCCACUGAAGAAAAGGGAGUCAGACACAGAACUGAGCAGCAGAGGCGUGUGCACGGUACUUACAGAGGCUCGGUUCUCCUCAGAUUUCUUUGGCUCAGGUGCAGAUCUGGAGUCUUGAUCUUUUUUGCCGUCCUUCCUGCAGAGACACAAGCAUCCUAUUCAACACUGUGGCCAGGACAAUGCAUCACUUUAGCUCCACAAAUCUAACCGGGACUCUAGCUUGUUCAGAGGUAGACCUGGAGUACUUGAGAAAGCCCAGAACCACUUCAUAAAGAUCCCCGCAUCUGAUACCAGAUUCAUAAACGGUGAGGAAAAAAUAUACACACCUAUCCAACUCCUUCCAGUGGUCUCUGCUCCCUCCAUCCCCAGGACCACGGCUGGAGUGUCCAGUCUGGCCUUUGGUGGUGCUCACCCCAUCCACUUUAGUUUCAUCUGUUCAAGGAGAAACACAACACCAAACUCAAGGCUUAUACAGAAAUCCAUCUCCCUGUCCUUACAUGAAGAACUCAUUAAGGGGAAUUACCCCCACUCCAAACCAGCCUAAGGCCUUUCUUUCCAUUAAAAGUCCUACUGUAGUGACCUUGGUUUACUAAUGGCAACGUUUUGAACCUGGACAGAUACGUUUAUUCCUGUCCAAUUUCCCCACAAAGGCAAGCUUUACCAUGAAGAGGCAGCUUCAAGUACUCUUUGAAGAAGUCAUUCCUGCCCUCUACUGGCAGAAAAAGCUAGCUCACAGAACAUUAGUAUAGCCACUCCAGCAGGCCACUCCCUCACAAAAGCCAUGGAAAGUAGAAGCUGGCUGGGAAGGGGUAGAGAGGCUAACGGGGCUGCAUCGAUGAAUAUGACUGAAAUACACCAUGUACAUGCAUCCAAGUGCUUGACCAAAAGAGCUGAAAAAACACUGCAGCUUUCAUUAAAGAAUGUCUCUUGCUAGGUUAGGUGGUGAUGGCAUACAUCUUUAAUCCUAGCACCCAGGAGGCAGAGGCCAGCCUGGUCAUAGUUCCAGGACAGCCAGGGCUACCCAGAGAAACCCUGCCUAGAUAAACAACAAAAAAGAAAGAUUCUUUGGCAAGGUGUUUAAUCUUGGAGUUCUUCUUUACAGUUAUUUUAACCCCUUGUACCGGCUGGUUUUGUGUGUCAACCUGAUACAAGUUGGGGUUCUCACAGAGAAAGGAGUCUCCUUUGAGGAAAUGCCUCCAUGAGACCCAGCUGUAAGGCAUUUUCUCAAUUAGUGAUGAAGGGGGAGGACCCAGCCCAUUGUGGGUUGUGAUGUGAGUGGUCUUGGGUUCUAUUAAAGAGAGAAAGCUGAGCAAGCCUGGGGAAGCAAGCCAGUAAGUAACAUCCCUCCAUGGCCUCUGCAUCAGCUUCC
rnacentral:lncRNA from 1 species